rnacentral:lncRNA from 1 species
UCACAUUCAUAAUGCUCAUAAGUUAAUAAUUAGUAAUUUAUUAUAAUUUUAAAGUCAAUGACACUUUUACUGAGGGAAAUUUACGAAUUCCCAUACAUAAAUUUCGUCACUAAAUUCAGGAUAUAACAGUUAAAAUGUGAAAUUUAUGUUGUACUAAUUCACCUAACUCUUUUAUUUAUUGGUUCAAGUUAAUAAACCAAUGUCAGCUAUACACUUUGAAAUUGUACUAAUAUAUCAAUGGUGUACUAGUUCACAAACUCAUUCAAAUUAUAAAACCAAUGUGAGCUAUUGAGUUAACCAAUUAUACUAGUUUGUUAAGGAUUUUUUAUACAAGGGUUGUCCUAGUUCAAUUGAUUUCAGCAGUACAUGAUGUCUCACUAAUGGGUACUAGUUCAUACGCAAAUCACUAUAUGCGACCAAAGAAAUUGAUAUAUUGAAAAAUAAAAGUAUACAUAACUAGUCUAGUACCGUUACAACAAUGGCAUUGUAUCAGCCACCAUAUCAUAUUACAAAAUUCCGUCGUAUACUAGUGCAUCGAACAAAUCCAAUCUAACCCACAAAUAAUAUAAUAACAAAUUUUAUCCUGUGCUAGUGCACCCAAAAACUAGAUCUGAAUUUGAUGUCAUUCCCGAUAGUAAUAUAUUUGACGAUGUUGGAGCUACUUGAGUGAAUGGUAGGAAAGCAAGAUUGAUCUUGGACACAUGAGGCUGACGGUUGGUCGAUUUAUCACAAUCUGAACAUGAGAAGAGGGAAAACGAACUGAAGAGGUUGGAAACAACGUGAGGGAAGAAUAUGAAAUCCGAUCUCGAUGUGGAUAAGAGAUUUGAUUCUGAGCUUACUUGACGAGAAUGGAAGACCCGAUAGACGAGGCAUGUCAGAAGAUGGAUCAAUGGUCAUGGCGGUGAUGGCAGCUGAAAGUCUCAAUGGAGAGCAAAGUGAUGGCAGGGGUUUCGCCGACGAGGAGAAGGAUGGACUAACGAUGGCGGCAUGAAAGAGAGAGGUAUGGUGAUGAAUAGAGAAUUUUUUCAUGUGGCGACUACUUUCGGUGGAAUGAAUAAGUAAAGUUUUGAUAAGGAUAUAAAUAUUUGUAUUGCAACGGAUCUACUCCUAGUGAUAGAGUCAAUCAAAUAUAAGGAGCAAAAAAGUAAAGACACCAGAUUUGUUUAUGCUAUUCAAAGAGUAAACUCGCCUAAUCAGCGAAGUCUCAGAGAGGGAAUGGUGUGCCCAAAGAUGC